GUCCCAAGCUCGUAUGCGACAACGCCACCCGACACCAGACCCCAGCUUGCGUACACGGCUGUCCCCCAGAGAGGUCCUGUCAGAACCGCUUCUGGCCUCCCCCACCCUGCGCCCCACCUGGCCCUGAGACACUGUGCACGAAUAAAUGCAUCUGCGACGAUGGCUAUGUGAGGAACGAGCCUACUGGCGUUUGUGUGACGGAAGUACAAUGUGACAAAUGCCCCGGCGAAAACGAGUACUUCCAGUGCGACGGAGACAACGAACCUGACUGCGAUGGCCGCUGCUACUGUUUAUCAAACCACGUGCGAGACAAGGACGGGAAAUGCGUUUACGUCGAUCCUCCGAAAGUGGACCCACC